rnacentral:ribozyme from 1 species
UACAAAUGAGGCCCUAUAACGGGAUGGGAAGAAUCCAUCCAACUCCUAUACCGACACGUCCACGUCGUGCAGGGUGGUAACAUGGGCCCAAGUCCACUUCAGCUGGAUGAAGACUCAUGGCUAAGAAGGAGGGU